UCCUCUUUCUCCCAGUUGGUAGUGCGUCUCCCAAAUCGCCCCUAUACACCAUCCGCCCCUGGUUGAAAACGAUAAACAAGUGAAAAAGAUCCUCCUACAGUUGUGGUGCCUCUCUCCUUCUGUGCGCUUCUGAUCAUCGGCUGAAUGGCUCUCCUCUCCCGCCACGAGACCAGAGGUUCUGAGUCCACCGUCCCGGAGCGACCGGACCCGGAGGAGGACUUGCUGGACCCGGAGGAGGACCUGCUGGCCGCUAGCCCGCGCCCACGACGACGGAGGAGGAGGAGCAUGAGUCAGCCGCCUUCAUUGGAAGCUGAUUCGACCGGGGAGGAUCCACCAGUGGACGUCUGCGACUGCGUACACACACACACUUCUCCGGUGGGUUCGCCAGAAAAAUCUAUGUAUGUGUCAACUGACCUCCAUGUAAUGAUGAUCACAGACAAUAAAAUAAACCGUUAAAAAAAUGUA